ACGCUCGACACCUACGGAGGCAGCAGUCGGGAAUAUUGCGCAAUGGAGGAAACUCUGACGCAGUGACGCCGCGUGCAGGAAGAAGGUUUUCGGAUUGUAAACUGCUUUAGACAGGGAAGAAAGAAAUGACAGUACCUGUAGAAUAAGCUCCGGCUAACUACGUGCACAGCCGCGGUAAUCGUAGAGCGGGCUGGGCAAGGCNG
rnacentral:rRNA from 1 species